UGAGGAAUAUUGGUCAAUGUGCGAGAGCCUGAACCAGCCAAGUAGCGUGCAGGAUGACGGCCCUAUUGGUUGUAAACUGCUUUUAUUUGGGGAUAAAGUGUGCGACGUGUCGUGCAUUGCAGGUACCGCAUGAAUAAGGACCGGCUAAUUCCGUGCCAGCAGCCGCGGUAAUACGGAAGGUCCGGGCGUUAUCCGGAUUUAUUGGGUUUAAAGGGAGCGUAGGCCGCCAGAUAAGCGUGUUGUGAAAUGUACCGGCUCAACCGGUGAAUUGCAGCGCGAACUGUUUGGCUGGAGUGCACGGUAAGCAGGCGGAAUUCAUGGUGUAGCGGUGAAAUGCUUAGAUAUCAUGAAGAACUCCGAUUGCGAAGGCAGCUUGCUGCAGUGCGACUGACGCUGAUGCUCGAAGGUGCGGGUAUCAAACAGG
rnacentral:rRNA from 1 species